UCCAGGGGCGGGAAUCGAACCCACAACCUUCCGCUUACCGGGCAGAUGCCAUGUCCACUAGGCCCAUUUUCUCCGG
rnacentral:tRNA from 1 species